GGUCUCAGAGUCCGGGAUCUAUUCAACAGCCCCGGCAGAGUGAGACGAUACUUAGCAUCAACAUUUAACGUGUCUCAGGACGUUGCUGAAAGCAUUAUGGGAUCGGAACUAAGCUUCCAAGGUAUAAUGAAAGGGAAUAUAAACAGAUGCAGCGCAAAUUCUCUGGUAGAGACGCUGAACAUGGACAACGCAGAACAUUUAAGUUUAAUAGUAGAAAAACUUUGUUCGCUAACAAAUACAGAUAUAAGGAAAAUACUUUAGAUCUAAUUGUAGAAGUAAAUUUUGGUAAAUAUAUAAAAAUGAUAGGUGACAUGUACAAAAAGCUAAGCGGUGACGAGCGGCUAACGCAACUCGGCUACAUGUUGACUGCAGUGCUGCGGAUGACCAAUAUCAACAGCUUCCUCCCAUCAGAACUAACCGCGUUCUUCGGGAAUGAAGAGUUUAGCUAUUUCAACCUGACCUUAAUUUCCAAAUUCAUGGACCAAUUUAAACCGACAUUUGCCGACACACAAGCAUACAAAACAGUAAGGGAACUAGUCGAUGCUGCCAUAGUUGGUAUCCAAUAUCUAAACAAAUUCUUGUCCAAUAAAAAUUCAAACGCCACUGUGGAAGACAUAUCAAGUUUGUUAUUGACGCACGUGGGCAACAAACUUGGCGGUAAUAAUGAUUUUAAAGCAGUUUCUAAAGACGUUAAUGAUGCUGUUCAGGAUUUUGAUGGAAAUAAUAUAGAUUCGGGCUUUGAUGUUUUUGAUGUACUAUCAAAACUCGCUAAUUUAAUAUUUAAGUGGAUUCCGGAUGACCAAAAACAAGACGUUCUCUUUUAUUCAACUUUGCUGACUAAACUUAUCGAAGGAGCACACAAAGUCGUCUCUACAAACUUGCAUAUAGAAGAGGUGGCCUAUAACGCUUCCCUGCGGAACUCCGAAGGUUUUAAACUAUUGUUGGAUAUCCCCGCUCCAAUCGUAGCGAAGGGUUUGGAAGCAUUGGCUGAUACAGAGAGGGUCCAGGUAUUUACGUCUAAAGUGAAUUUCCCUAACCAGCUAUUUUGCGAUAGACUAAAGCUGCAAAGAUUCUUUAUUGUAUCAAGUGCUGAUGCAGACAUGCUCAAGAGUAAGCUCUGCAGUGAUGCUUGGAAGAACUACAUUUCAGAUCUAAUACGAUCUUUUGGUUUCUUUGACGUUAGAGAUAAUAUAAACAAUAUGGCAUCGUUAUUAAUUCAGAAAACCGUUGGAAAAGACACGAGCAGUCAACUUUACACAAUAGAUAAAGAUUUUGGAGUUCUUAAAGAUUUCUACUAUACCUUGGCUAGUAUAAACACUGAGCAAAAAAUUAAAGUUGAUUGGAGUACACUGCUUGCCGGCACGAACAACGGAGACAUUUUGGAAACAUUUCAGAAUAAGACUAGCUUGAGGAAUCAGAUUUUAAUAACCCUCCACGGAGCUUUAGCGAAAGAGAUAGUUAAGCAGAACACAAUCCUGGACUACAAGAUAACUCCAGUCCUGCUUGACGCAACGACUAUGUUAACGGCGCUGAACGCUCAGCUUUCAACGACGCCGAGAGAGGUGACGGAUGGGCUGAAGGAAAUGUAUCCGGACGUGUUGAAGACUGUGUUAUUGACCGCUUUAGAUGAAGAAAAGACUUACAGAUCUUUAUCGACACACAGCGAAGACAUUUUAUGUCACGAAGUCGAAAAAGCAUCUUCGUUUAUAUUAACACCAUCAACAGUAGACAGCCACCGUUUGGUGACUGCAUUGUGUCAAAUGUCCAGUGCAAUCGAAAAAGGAUUUCUAAGCAACUCAUCAAUUGGAAAAGCUAUAGAAAAGGUAAAGAACUCCAAACAUACCGCGCUAGACGAGGUAAAAUGGACCCAACUCAUCAACGGAGUCAAACAGUUGUAUGCCACUCUAGAGAGAGACUACACUUAUCUGUUUGAGUUUAAGACCUACGGAAUGGAUCAAGAGACGCAGAAGGAACUUCAGGUGUUAUUGGAUGAUGCAAAGAAUUUUUGGUUCGGAAAAGAAAACAUACAAAGAAGCUUGCAUUUAAGUCUUAAGUUUGGCUUUCGCAUUCUGGAUCUACUGGAUCGAGAGAUUUUUAAUCUGACCAGCGAAGGAUGGAUGAAAGUGAAAGGCAGCUUCGGCAUGCUUACUGGUCCUCUGGCGGUAGCUGAAGAUUUUAUUAGAGUCGUUGCAGUUCUGUCACGGAACGAAUCUUAUACCUCAGAUCUGCCUCCAACCACGGUGCAGGUUAUUCGCCGAUUGAUCCCUAAUCUACCUCAUUUGAUCGCCGAUGCCUCGCUUAUUCUUGCCACUGAUAAUACUGAUGUAGGUCCUAUAAUAGCAGCACUGAACGCGGAUCCCCUUGGCCUUGCUCCAACAGUCUGACCGAACUUCUGGAUCUGACUGACAGCUCCAAAGAAGCCGUGGAGGCAAUAGAGACAGUGCUGUGUUUAGAUAGAAGUUUCCAGCAGGAGUGGAUUGAGUAUCUGAAUGAGAAGAACUUGACGAAUCUUAGUAUACAAAAUUGGAACACUACAUCUCCCUCUCAACAUAUAUUUCUGAAGUUCUCCUCAACCUUCGAUUCUGUGAUAAAAGAUACAGCGGCCCUCAAACAAGUUCUAGACGAAAUUGCAGACGACUCUUCUGAAAUAUCAGAAAGGCCUGUAACAUUCGUAUCGGCUUGGAGAUAUGCACAACAGACAUUGAGGGGAAAAGAUGU